UAUGAGUAGCGAGACGUGGGUGAGAAUCCCACGGGCCGUAAACCCAAGGUUUCCAGGGGAAGGUUCGUCCGCCCUGGGUUAGUCGGGACCUAAGCCGAGGCCGAAAGGCGUAGGUGAUGGACAACAGGUUGAUAUUCCUGUACCGCCAAUAAGCAUUCGAGAGAUGGAGUGACACAGUAGGAUAAGCUAACCGUACUGUUGGUUAUGUACGGCUAAGCAUUGAGGCAGUCUAAAUAGGCAAAUCCGUUUAGGCAAUGCUAGGAUGUGAUGGGGAAGCCCUUCGGGGCGAAGUAGCUGAUUUCACACUGUCAAGAAAAGCUUCUAUCGAGUUUAAAGGCGUCCGUACCGUAAACCGACACAGGUGGGUGAGGAGAGUAUCCUAAGGCCAGCGAGAGAACUAUUGUUAAGGAACUCGGCAAAAUGACCCCGUAACUUAGGGAGAAGGGGUGCCUGUCUAUGACAGGCCGCAGAGAAUAGGCCCAAGCGACUGUUUACCAAAAACACAGGUUUCUGCUAAGUCGCAAGACGAUGUAUAGGAGCUGACGCCUGCCCGGUGCUGGAAGGUUAAGGGGAUCUGUUAGAGCAAUCGAAGCAGUGAACUUAAGCCCCAGUAAACGGCGGCCGUAACGAUAACGGUCCUAAGGUAGCGAAAUUCCUUGUCGGGUAAGUUCCGACCCGCACGAAAGGCGUAACGAUUUGGGCACUGUCUCAACAAUAGGCUCGGUGAAAUUGUAAUCCCGGUGAAGAUGCCGGGUUCCUGCGACAGGACGGAAAGACCCCAUGGAGCUUUACUGUAGCUUGACGUUGGGUCUUGGUACUACAUGUACAGGAUAGGUGGGAGACUAUGAAGCAUGGACGCCAGUCUGUGUGGAGUCAUCCUUGGGAUACCACCCUUGUAGUACUGGGAUCCUAACCAUAGGCCUUGAAUCAGGUCUUGGAACACCGUCAGGUGGGCAGUUUGACUGGGGCGGUCGCCUCCUAAAAAGUAACGGAGGCGCUCAAAGGUUUCCUCAGCACGGUCGGAAAUCGUGCGAAGAGUGUAAAGGCAAAAGGAAGCUUGAUUGCAAGACAUACAGGUCGAGCAAGGACGAAAGUCGGACUUAGUGAUCCGGUGGUACCGCAUGGAAGGGCCAUCGCUCAACGGAUAAAAGCUACCCUGGGGAUAACAGGCUUAUCUCCCCCAAGAGUCCACAUCGACGGGGAGGUUUGGCACCUCGAUGUCGGCUCAUCACAUCCUGGGGCUGUAGUAGGUCCCAAGGGUUGGGCUGUUCGCCCAUUAAAGUGGUACGCGAGCUGGGUUCAGAACGUCGUGAGACAGUUCGGUCCCUAUCCGUCGCAGGCGUAGGAAAUUUGAGAAGACCUGUCCUUAGUACGAGAGGACCGGGAUGGACGUACCUCUGGUGUGCCAGUUGUUCUGCCAAGGGCAUAGCUGGGUAGCUAUGUACGGAAUGGAUAAGCGCUGAAAGCAUCUAAGCGCGAAGCCAACUUCAAGAUAAGAUUUCCCACCGUAAGGGUAAGACCCCAGGAAGACUACCUGGUUGAUAGGUCGAAGGUGUAAGUGCAGUAAUGUAUUUAGCUUAUCGAUACUAAUAGGUCGAGGACUUGACU
rnacentral:rRNA from 1 species